CCCUUAGAUGUUCUGGGCCGCACGCGCGCUACACUGACGGAUUCAACGAGCUUACAACCUUGGCCGAAAGGUCUGGGUAAUCUCCAAAAUCCGUCGUGAUGGGGAUAGAUUAUUGCAAUUAUUAAUCUUCAACGAGGAAUGCCUAGUAAGCGCAAGUCAUCAGCUUGCGUUGAUUACGUCCCUGCCCUUUGUACACACCGCCCGUCGCUCCUACCGAUUGAAUGGUCCGGUGAAGCGUUUGGACUAUGGUUUUCUGAUGGUCCGCCGUUUGAUUACCGUGGGAAGUUCGUUAAACCUUAUCAUUUAGAGGAAGGAGAAGUCGUAACA
rnacentral:rRNA from 1 species